AGUAGAGCGCCUCCCGGUGGACCUGCAGGAAACACACCCUGAGAAAAACUAAAACACACCUGAGGGUCUGGACCAAUCACAGCCAAGGACUUCAAUUUACAAAGCUUCAUUAUUUAGCGCUUUGGGCCCAGAAAGUUCCUGUCAGUGUUUAUCUAUGGAUGGAUCCAUAUUUCUACUAAAAUAUAGUCUUUGGUCCACAUUUCUCCAACUGUUGAGGCUCUAGCAUCAGUAGAACCUGAUGGAGGAACGUUUUUAGAUGUUUAGACUAAAAGUUGAUGUGGAACCAUUGGUAGGAACCAGAACCUGGAGUUAAUAGAGGUCUAGAUGUUCAUAGAGACCUAGGCGUUCACAGAGACCUAGAUGUUCACAGAGGUCUAGAUGUUCACAGAGGUCUAGAUGUUCACAGAGGUCUAGGUGUUCACAGAGGUCUAGAUGUUCACAGAGGUCUAGGUGUUCACAGAGGUCUAGGUGUUCACAGAGGUCUAGGUGUUCACAGAGGUCUAGAUGUUCACAGAGGUCUAGGUGUUCACAGAGGUCUAGAUGUUCAUAGAGGUCUAGGUGUUCAUAGAGGUCUAGGUGUUCAUAGAGGUCUAGGUGUUCACAGAGGUCUAGAUGUUCACAGAGGUCUAGGUGUUCAUAGAGGUCUAGGUGUUGAUAGAGGUCUAGGUGUUCACAGAGGUCUAGGUGUUCACAGAGGUCUAGAUGUUCACAGAGGUCUAGGUGUUCACAGAGGUCUAGGUGUUCACAGAGGUCUAGGUGUUCACAGAGGUCUAGAUGUUCACAGAGGUCUAGGUGUUCACAGAGGUCUAGAUGUUCAUAGAGGUCUAGGUGUUCAUAGAGGUCUAGGUGUUCAUAGAGGUCUAGGUGUUCACAGAGGUCUAGAUGUUCACAGAGGUCUAGAUGUUCAUAGAGGUCUAGAUGUUCACAGAGGUCUAGAUGUUCAUAGAGGUCUAGAUGUUCACAGAGGUCUAGAUGUUCAUAGAGGUCUAGGUGUUCACAGAGGUCUAGAUGUUCACAGAGGUCUAGAUGUUCACAGAGGUCUAGGUGUUCACAGAGGUCUAGGUGUUCACAGAGGUCUAGGUGUUCAUAGAGGUCUAGGUGUUCAUAGAGGUCUAGGUGUUCACAGAGGUCUAGGUGUUCAUAGAGGUCUAGGUGUUCACAGAGGUCUAGAUGUUCACAGAGGUCUAGAUGUUCACAGAGGUCUAGAUGUUCACAGAGGUCUAGAUGUUCAUAGAGGUCUAGAUGUUCACAGAGGUCUAGAUGUUCAUAGAGGUCUAGAUGUUCAUAGAGGUCUAGGUGUUCACAGAGGUCUAGGUGUUCACAGAGGUCUAGGUGUUCACAGAGGUCUAGGUGUUCAUAGAGGUCUAGGUGUUCACAGAGGUCUAGGUGUUCAUAGAGGUCUAGGUGUUCACAGAGGUCUAGGUGUUCAUAGAGGUCUAGGUGUUCACAGAGGUCUAGGUGUUCACAGAGGACUAGGUGUUCAUAGAGGUCUAGGUGUUCACAGAGGUCUAGGUGUUCACAGAGGUCUAGGUGUUCAUAGAGGUCUAGGUGUUCAUAGAGGUCUAGGUGUUCACAGAGGUCUCGGUGUUCAAAGUUACAGGAUGCUUCAUGUGGACCUCCUGAUGUUCUCUAAUCUACACCUGACAGGAGAGCCAGACCUCGUGGA